AGCUGUGAAACGGGGUGCCCGACACUUGUGUCGUGGCUGAGAUCAUACUCGAUGAACCUGAUCUGGAUAAUUCCAGCGAAGGGAGCACUCACACUGUGUUG
rnacentral:ncRNA from 1 species